rnacentral:rRNA from 1 species
GGGAACGGGGUGGCAGGAGGCGAGGGAAUACGGAGGGGGGGAACGGGGCGCGGAAGCAUGGGGCGGAAAGCGGACGUAGGCGGGUCGUGAAGACGGAUGGGAAAGCCACGGGCGCAACGCGGGAAGUGCAUUCGAAACGGGCGAGCGUGAAGAGGGAAGAGGGUAGCGGAAGUCCCGGUGUAGAGGUGAAAUUCGUAGAGAGCGGGAGGAACACCAGGGGCGAAGGCGGCGACCUGGGCCAAGAUUGACGCUGAGGUGCGAAAGCGUGGGGAGCAAACAGGAUUAGAUACCCUAGUAGUC